rnacentral:misc_RNA from 1 species
GAUGAAGAACGUAGCGAAAUGCGAUAAGUAGUGUGAAUUGCAGAAUUCAGUGAAUCAUCGAAUCUUUGAACGCACAUUGCGCCCUUUGGUAUUCCUUAGGGCAUGCCUGUUCGAGCGUCAUUUAAACCUUCAAGCUAAGCUUGGUGUUGGGUGACUGUCCGCUUCACGGCGGACUCGCCUCAAAAUUAUUGGCGGCCGGUACAUUGGCUUCGAGCGCAGCAGAAACGCGAACUCGGGCCCGUCGUAUUGGCUCCCAGAAGCUAUCUUCACAAUUUUGGCCUCGGAUCAGGUAGGGAUACCCGCUGAACUUAAGCAUAUCAAUAAGCGGAGGA